ensembl:lncRNA
AAUAUAUUUUUUAUACCAUUACCAGACCACUAUGCGCCUUACAAUGCUACAGCUAUUUAUUUAACGAGACAGAAAAACGUAUGACAGGGCCAAUCGUAAGGGAAAGAAUUGCUCGAACUGGUCUGGGAUCGAGAUCUGACCGACGGACGCGGGCGUUUCAGAGCAGAUGAAGCUUUCCACAGGAACCUGGUCACAUGCUGCGGGAUUAAUCUCAAAUAGACUCCGAUUCUUAAGAAUUUGCCGCACUGUAUAAUCACUCAUGGUUCCUGGAAGCUGUGGGGUGCCAUGCCGUAAUUCCGACGCCUCGUUGUUCCGAGGUCUCAAUGGUCCGAAAUAUUUCCCAUGAGAUCGACAUGCCACUAUGUCGGGUUACGGACCCGUCACCUCCUUGCGGACCCUCCCUAGAGGGUGAAGGAAACGUUGAGCAGCGCCAGACUGUUGAGUCACUGUGAGAGAAAAGGUGUAGGCCUAUAAGAUGGCUGUGAGGGACACGUUUGCAGACUUUUACGGUUGGCCUCCUGUGAGACGUCACAUCUCCUCUUUUCAAGCAAAAGCACAAGACAUUAAAAGUUACGCAACCGAGUUGCCCCACGAGGACUUGGCAGCAAAUGAAGUACAAAAAUAUAGUUUAAACAGCAAAUCGAAAAAAUGCAGAGGCCCGGCAGACUGGAGGGGGUCCACCACCUGCAGCCCUCACAGAGGCUGAGGAGAUGGCCCUCAGCCAACAGAGUAUGCGUCCUGUGGCUGAGGGCAUCCCUGGGGGGAGCUCCUCUGAUCCCCCCAACCCCCCAGGAUAGAAGUGCCUUUACAGUAUAAGAGUCCUGCCGCGAUCCGGAACCGUUCAAAACGGCGAAUCCAGUUUGGCCAAUUACCGAAGUGCGAGAAGUCAAAGUUAUCCGGUGGGCUUAUUGAGAACAGGGACUCUAUUUUUCCGUUUGGAGGCUUGCACGACGCUGUCUCUCACCGUCUCGCUGGCUCUCCGCUCUGCUAGUUUCUAACUGCUAGCUUAGCCUAGCUUAUCCCUGACGGCAUUUACACUGCACAGAAGUCUGUUUUUAUUUUCC